rnacentral:lncRNA from 1 species
GGGGAAGAAAAGAGACAUUAACGGUGCUGACAGUGGUUGCAGAGAAGAAAGAUGGAGGCGGCCUGACUAAACGGAGCGACGAUCUUGCUGAACGAAGAUGGAGACAAUUUUGAUUUGUAGCUGCAAUGUAGUGGAAGAGAAGAAAAAGAUGGAGUGGAAGAUGGAGAAGUAGGAAAAACAACUAGUUUCACGCACAAAUUAGGAAGAAAUGGGAAAAAUGAAAUAUAUAACACUCUGCUCGCGGAUAGAGAGGAAAAAUGGGUGGGAAAAUUCUCGCCCAUUUUACCGACG